CGGGCGACGGUUGUCCCGGUUUAAGCGUGUAGGUGUGUGUUCCAGGUAAAUCCGGUUCACUUUAACACUGAGGCGUGAUGACGAGGCACUACGGUGCUGAAGCAACAAAUGCCCUGCUUCCAGGAAAAGCCUCUAAGCAUCAGGUAACAUCAAAUCGUACCCCAAACCGACACAGGUGGUCAGGUAGAGAAUACCAAGGCGCUUGAGAGAACUCGGGUGAAGGAACUAGGCAAAAUGGUGCCGUAACUUCGGGAGAAGGCACGCUGACAC
rnacentral:rRNA from 1 species